rnacentral:rRNA from 1 species
GACGAACGCUGGCGGCGUGCUUAACACAUGCAAGUCGAACGGAAAGGCCCUGCUUUUGUGGGGUGCUCUAGUUGCGAACGGGUGAGUAACACUUGAGUAACCUGCCCUUGACUUUGGGAUAACUUCAUGAAACUGGGUCUAAUACCGGAUAGGAGCUCCUGCUGCUUGGUGGGGGUUGGAAAGUUUCGGCGGUUGGGGAUGGACUCGCGGCUUAUCAGCUUGUUGGUGGGGUAGUGGCUUACCAAGGCUUUGACGGGUAGCCGGCCUGAGAGGGGGACCGGCCACAUUGGGACUGAGAUACGGCACAGACUACUACGGGAGGCAGCAGUGGGGAAGAUUGCACAAUGGGCGGAAGCCUGAUGCAGCAACGCCGCGUGCGGGAUGACGGCCUUCGGGUUGUAAACCGCUUUCGCCUGUGACGAAGCGUGAGUGACGGUAAUGGGUAAAGAAGCACCGGCUAACUACGUG